rnacentral:pre_miRNA from 1 species
AUUGAGUGCAGCCGUAGAAAUCCGUGUCUAACUUUUGACCGUUCGUCUUAUUUAAAAAAUUUAUGAAAAAUUUUAAAAAAUUUAGUCACACAUAAAAUACCAUUCAUAUUUUGUCAUCUAAUAGCAAUAAAAAUAUCAAUCAUAAAAAUUUUUCAAAUAAGACGAACUGUCAAUCGUUAGAGAUGAAUAGUAUAAAACUGCACUUAUU